AACAUUAAACUUCAUCUAGUAAUAGUUUUCCUUUGUUAUUCAUUCCAAUGUGUGUCUUUAACUUCUAAAUGGAUUGUGUGGAGGUGAGCUAGUGGUGUGGCUGAUAGAAUAGAAUGAAAAGGGAGGAUGGGAGGGGAAAUGGGCAGAUAUAUCAGCCCAUGCCAACACCAACCCAAUGCUUUUACAUUUGUGAGGAGUAGUGAAGGAAUCCUACUCUUCAGGAGGAAGGAGAGAUUAUCAGGACGUCCCCAUGGAGUGAUGAAAGAGGGAUGUGAAAGAGGAGAGAGGUAAUGGUUGUACUCCCCCAUGGAGUGAUGAUAGAGGGAUGUGAAAGAGGAGAGAGGUAAUGGUUGUACUGGACUUAUUUAUUCUCUCAUUACUUACUUAUUCUGUUUCAAUAACAUAAUU